UGAAAGUUACUUCGGUACAUCGGUGACAGGUGGUGCAUGGUUGUCGUCAGCUCGUGUCGUGAGAUGUUGGGUUAAGUCCCGCAACGAGCGCAACCCCUAUUGUUAGUUGCCAUCAUUCAGUUGGGCACUCUAGCGAGACUGCCGGUAAUAAACCGGAGGAAGGUGGGGAUGACGUCAAAUCAUCAUGCCCCUUAUGACCUGGGCUACACACGUGCUACAAUGGUUGGUACAACGAGUUGCGAGUCGGUGACGGCGAGCUAAUCUCUUAAAGCCAAUCUCAGUUCGGAUUGUAGGCUGCAACUCGCCUACAUGAAGUCGGAAUCGCUAGUAAUCGCGGAUCAGCACGCCGCGGUGAAUACGUUCCCGGGCCUU
rnacentral:rRNA from 1 species